CGAACGCUGGCGGCGUGCUUAACACAUGCAAGUCGCACGGAAAGGCCCUGCUUUUGUGGGGUGCUCGAGUGGCGAACGGGUGAGUAACACGUGAGUAACCUGCCCUUGACUUUGGGAUAACUUCAGGAAACUGGGGCUAAUACCGGAUAGGAGCUCCUGCUGCAUGAUGGGGGUUGGAAAGUUUCGGCGGUUGGGGAUGGGCUCGCGGCUUAUCAGCUUGUUGGUGGGGUAGUGGCUUACCAAGGCUUUGACGGGUAGCCGGCCUGAGAGGGUGACCGGCCACAUUGGGACUGAGAUACGGCCCAGACUCCUACGGGAGGCAGCAGUGGGGAAUAUUGCACAAUGGGCGGAAGCCUGAUGCAGCAACGCCGCGUGCGGGAUGACGGCCUUCGGGUUGUAAACCGCUUUCGCCUGUGACGAAGCGUGAGUGACGGUAAUGGGUAAAGAAGCACCGGCUAACUACGUG
rnacentral:rRNA from 1 species